GCUUUCAAGGGUACAGAGAGAAUUCAUCAGUCACUAAUCAGAGCUACAGUGCCGGGAUGGGCUGUCCUCUCCUCAAUUCUGGUUUCCAAACAACCUUCACUGGCUCAGGAGGCGCUGGAGGCACUGUCAGAAUGAAUACCGCGGGUCACCUAUUCACAGACAUUUCAAUGAAACUUGGCACAAAACUGAUGGAAGAAUUAUAAAUAGAUAACAAGUCCAGCUUUCAAGUCCAGCUGAACAGUCACAGCAAUACAGUCAGAGGAUGUGUGAACGUGGAAGAAGGCUGGAGAGUCAACGUGGCAUCUCAGUUUGCAAUUUCAACCAUGAAUCCAGAGCUGGGUGUGGGGAUCAGGAAGAAUGCUGGCGAAGGCCUAGUCCUACACUGCCUUUUCAUGAAGAUGAUACACAGCCAAACAGUGAUUUUUAAAUUAAACAUUUGGCUUCUCUAGGACAAAGAACUGAAUUUAAAAGUAGAAUUCUUUCUAU